GUAAUAGGAGUGGGUGAGCCAACACUUUACAGGCAAGUUAAAUUAAGGUUUGCCCUGGUUAAACUUUUAGAAAAUAUAACUAAAGCAAGAAUAAGUAAAUAUAUAUAGAAGAAAGAAAAAUUCAGACAAGGAAGAAUCAGCAUGGCUUUUUAAAAGGGAAAUCUGCCUCAUCAACCCUUUGGUAAUAUUUUAGUUCUGCAAUUUACUACCCCUUCAAAAUCUUUUCUUUAAAAAUAUUUAAUUUUUUAAUCAGGUUAUACUUUGAAUUCUCAAAGUCUUUUUUAUGGAAGGUUACAUAAACCAUUAUAUGUUACAUCAAUCACCAAUAAUAAUAAUAAUAAUGCAGGCAGUCUCAAUGGACACAUUGAAUGAAAGGGGGGGGGGAAGUAUGACACGUGAAAGCUAGCAUAAUAAAGCUAGCAUAACAAUCAAGAAAUUUGAGAAUAGGACUUUUACAGGCCAGUACAAUCCGAAACAGAGGAGUCAAUGAUAGUUCUAAACAUAUCGGUAGCUGUGUGUCAAAGAAUAUAUAGAGCACUGAGGUAGAAAAUGACAAGAUCACUCAUUCUUGGUCCUCAGACACCAAGGAAACUGCUUAUACAGUACUCUUUAUGAAUAUUGCCUUAGUUCAAUCAUGGUGUAUGUAGAUUAAUUAAGUUUAUAUUCAGAGAACUUGAAGGUGUUUGUCAAAACAAAGUUUGAGGUGAUGUUAUAAAUUGGUCUGUUCUGGAUAGGAUUAUUCUAUCUAUGAAAGACCAGGUUCACAAACUGGAAGAGGUUCUCUUGAAGAAAUGUUUUAAAUUGCCAAUCUGUUUAAAUACAGGAAAGUUAGCUAGACCUGUAAGAGGCGUUAGCUCUCCAAGUGCCAAUAUUUCCAAGCAAGACAUUUAUAGUGUUUCUCUGUAUAAACUGUAAUAAAGGAAAGGAAAAAUGCAUAAUUUUUAAAAAUUGAACCAACAAUACUAUAUGCUUUGAUAUUAAAUCCAGAAAUUGUUUCCUUUGCUUUAUGGAAGAAGGAAUCAGAAGAAUUAAAAUAAAUGAGAAAAAAGGAAUAAGCAUGUAAAGGAAUAUGUUGACCAAAUCUAUAUCAACUGAUCAAAAUAUUUUUAAAAACCCAAAUGUCUAUAAUCUGGUUUACAGCUGUAGCAUAUUGCUCUUCCUGGCAACAUGGAAGUUACUCAUUUAUUUUUCUAUAAUAUCUAGGGAACUUUCCUGUUAAUAAUCUUUUGGGACUAUUUAAUUUUUGAAAUGACUGUCAGUCUCUUCAAUUUAAAACAACCUUGGUUGUUACAUUUAAAAAACUGAGUAAUGGUACUGCGUCAGAAUUAAUAGAAAUAUACUGCAUAUAUUCUUCUCUUGUGGCUCCUGUCUAUUAAAUUCUGGUUCUCUUUUGUUUGAUGUCUCCAUUAUGUUGAAUUAAGGAUUAUAAAUUCUUUGGGGCAAGAUCCAAUCAUUUUGCAUUUCUAGACUGCUAAAACAGAAAUCAACAGAUUAUGCUCCAGGAAAGUUAUACAUACAAUGAAGUGAAAAAUGUGGUCAGAUAAGUACUGUUAAUAUCAAAGUAAUGCAUAUUAGGUUAUACAGAAAAUGACGUUACUAACAAGAAUUGAACUGAUAGUGAUUAACAGGAAUGAUAUAUUGGAGUGUUAUUGAACAAAUCAGUUCUGAGCAACAGUAAUGAAAAGGAUAAGUUUCAUGCACAUCUGAAAAAAAUUAUAAAAAGUCUCCCAGAUAAUUUGCCCAUGAAUAAGCAAGGAAUACCAAAAUAAUGUACAGUACUGGUAAAAUAAUCCAACACAGAAAGUAAAAAAAGGAAUGAUAAGGUAGAAGCCCUCAAGUCAAGCUCAAUGUUUAGUUACUUUAUACUUGCAUAACUUACAUGGCAACAAUGUGCAUGUCAUUUGUUAUUAUAUUCUUCCAGGAUGUUUUCUUAACUUCAGUAACCCUGGCAUUUUGUAGGGGUUGUCAUUCAGGUUCUACCUACGUAGAUUCUGUUUAGCUUUUUGAGAUCCUUUAGCUGCUGUAAACAGACAGUCUCAGAAUGUAAUGUAAUGGUCCUCUCAGGUUAUGUGAUUUCUCACAUACUACAGUACACUAUCAAAAUAAAUGCUAAUGAAAUAUUAACAAAAAAAGCAUCACCAUGAAGUGAGUUGGGUUGAAAGAGAGUGACUGGCCCAAGGUCACCCAGAUGGCUUUUAUGGCUAAGGCAGGAUUUCAACGCACCAUCACCUGGUGCCUUAACCACUACACCAAAAGGAAGCCAGCUCCUCAUUGAAUCAGUCCCAGAAAUCAACCUCCAGAUGACACCUGUCUUCUGUCAAAGGAUACAGCUUGUGUUGAGGGCCAUACACCAGAAAUGUAGAGACCAGACUCAAAUAAACAAAUAAGCAAUAGUUUGUGCUUAAAAUCUCCUGAAACCAAGAGGAGGAGAGCUUAAGGGCCCAGUGACAAUAGCUCGCAGAAAUGAGUUGUGUUCUGCUUUGAAGAACAUGGCUGGCUGCUAUCACCCAAUUAGCAGUCACUGGCCAGUGACAUCUUGUCCAGUUUCUCUCUCCUACUGUGUUGGGGUGCCGGCUUGAAGCAAAAGAAACUCUAAAAGGGCAUCACACUGUCUGGUUUGGUGCACUCACAAAACUUUCCAGCAAGCUGAUAUCUGCUUUGGGAGCCACUUUGGUGAAGAACUGAGCAAUAAAUCUAAGGAAUAUAACAACAAAACAGUAACAUCUGUGUCUUCAUUCCUCACUUGGAAAACCGAUCCCACUGUUUGAAAAAAGGAAACAAAACUUGACACUGUACACUUAUUCAAAUUUAAAAGAGAUGCAUGAACUCUGGGGCAUGUUUCAUGCCAAUCCAAUUAAUAUAAGUUUAUAUUUAUUAAUAUUUUUCUCAGAAAACUUCAGGUGAUUAGUCUUGCUAUACCUCUGUGGGCCAAAUUAGGAAGAGAGAUGAUUUGGGUCCUGUCCAUUAGUGCCUGGCAGUAUGACAUUACCAUGUACCCUGCAAUGUGGAUGGCAGCUGGUUUUAUAUGAAAGAAAAAGAGAGAGAGAGAGAGAGAGAGAG